rnacentral:rRNA from 1 species
UUUGUUUAUAUAUUGAUAAUGACAGUAUAUAUAUCGUGUCUUGACUAAUUGCGUGCCAGCAGUCGCGGUAAUACGUAAGAGACUAGUGUUAUUCAUCUUAAUUAGGUUUAAAGGGUACCCAGACGGUCAAUAUAGCUUAUAAAAUGUGAGUACUUGACUAGAGUUUUAUGUAAGAGGGCAGUACUUGAGGAGGAGAGAUGAAAUUUCGUGAUACCAAAGGGACUCUGUAAAGGCGAAGGCAGCCCUCUAUGUAAAAACUGACGUUGAAGGACGAAGGCACAGAGAACAAACAGGAUUAGAUACCCAAGUAGUCUUUGCAGUAAAUGAUGAAUGCCAUAGGUUAGAUUAAUCAAACAUAGUCUAGGGUUAGUCUAGCAAACUAAUGACCUAUACUACAAUGAAAAAAAUAUCUGGUCUAUAAAUGAAAGUGUAAGCAUUUCACCUCAAGAGUAAUGUGGCAACGCAGGAACUGAAAUCACUAGACCGUUUCUGACACCAG